GAGGAUGUAGCUCAGUGGUGGAGCACAUGCUUAGCAUGCACCUGGUCCUGGGUUCCAUCCCCAGUACCUCCA
rnacentral:tRNA from 1 species